UACGGAGGGGGCUAGCGUUGUUCGGAAUUACUGGGCGUAAAGCGCACGUAGGCGGCUUUGUAAGUUAGAGGUGAAAGCCUGGGGCUCAACUCCAGAACUGCCUUUAAGACUGCAUCGCUUGAAUCAUGGAGAGGCGGGUUGGAAUUCCGAGUGUAGAGGUGAAAUUCGUAGAUAUUCGCAAGAACACCAGUGGCGAAGGCGGCUGACUGGUCCGGUUCUGACGCUGAGGCGCGAAAGCGUGGGGAGCAAACAGG
rnacentral:rRNA from 1 species